GUUCCAACGGUACAGGAUGGGCUCGCGUUUGAUUAGCUAGUUGGCGGGGUAAGGGCCCACCAAGGCGACGAUGCAUAGCCGGCCUGAGAGGGUGAUCGGCCACACUGGGACUGAGAUACGGCCCAGACUCCUACGGGAGGCUGCAGGAAAGCCUGACGCAGCAACGCCGCGUGAGCGAAGAAGGUCUUCGGAUUGUAAAGCUCUGUGAUAUUGGACGAACAAUUUCCCGUAAAUAAUGGGAAGGAAUGACGGUACAAUAAGAGGAAGCCACGGCUAACUACGUGCCAGCAGCCGCGGUAAUACGUAGGUGGCAAACGUUGUCCGAAUUACUGGGGCGUAAGGGCGAGUAGGUGGUUUGCUAAGUCAAGAGUGAAAACUCCAGGCUCAACUUGGAGACUGCUCUACGAAACUGGUAGACUUGAGUGCAAGAGAGGGAAGUGGAAUUCCUAGUGUAGCGGUGAAAUGCGUAGAUAUUAGGAGGAACACCAGUGGCGAAGGCGACUUCCUGGCUUGUAACUGACGCUGAGGCACGAAAGCGUGGGGAGCAAACAGGAUUAGAUACCCUGGUAGUCCACGCCGUAAACGAUGGACGCUAGCUGUGGGGACCGCGAGAUUCCAGUGCCGGAGUAAACGCAUUAAGUAUUCCGCCUGGGGAGUACGGUCGCAAGAUUGAAACUCAAAGGAAUUGACGGGGGCCCGCACAAGCAGCGGAGCAUGUGGUUUAAUUCGAAGCAACGCGAAGAACCUUACCAAGGCUUGACAUCCCUUGACCGCCAUGGAAACAUGGUUUCCCUUCGGGGCAAGGAGACAGGUGGUGCAUGGUUGUCGUCAGCUCGUGUCGUGAGAUGUUGGGUUAAGUCCCGCAACGAGCGCAACCCUUAUCAUUAGUUGCCAGCGGGUAAUGCCGGGAACUCUAAUGAGACUGCCGGGGAUAACUCGGAGGAAGGUGGGGACGACGUCAAAUCAUCAUGCCCCUUAUGUCUUGGGCUACACACGUGCUACAAUGGCCGGUACAAAGGGCUGCAAACCCGUAAGGGGGAGCGAAUCCCAUAAAGCCGGUCUCAGUUCGGAUCGUGGGCUGCAACCCGCCCACGUGAAGUCGGAGUUGCUAGUAAUCGCAAAUCAUCAUGUUGCGGUGAAUACGUUCCCGGGCCUUGUACACACCGCCCGUCACACCAUGGGAGUUGGGAGCGCCCGAAGCCGGUAUGCUAACCGUAAGGAGGGAGCCGUCGAAGGUGGGACCAAUGACUGGGGUGAAGUCGUAACAAGGUAACCU
rnacentral:rRNA from 1 species